CCAGACUCCUACGGGAGGCAGCAGUGGGGAAUAUUGGACAAUGGGGGGAACCCUGAUCCAGCGACGCCGCGUGAGUGAAGAAGUAUUUCGGUAUGUAAAGCUCUAUCAGCAGGGAAGAAAGAAAUGACGGUACCUGACUAAGAAGCCCCGGCUAACUACGUGCCAGCAGCCGCGGUAAUACGUAGGGGGCAAGCGUUAUCCGGAUUUACUGGGUGUAAAGGGAGCGUAGACGGCGAUGCAAGUCUGAAGUGAAAGGCGGGGGCCCAACCCCCGGACCGCUUUGGAAACUGUAUGGCUGGAGUGCAGGAGAGGUAAGUGGAAUUCCUAGUGUAGCGGUGAAAUGCGUAGAUAUCAGGAGGAACACCGGCGGCGAAGGCGGCCUGCUGGACCGUGACUGACGUUGAGGCUCGAGAGCGUGGGGAGCAAACAGGAUUAGAUACCCGGGUAGG
rnacentral:rRNA from 1 species